rnacentral:rRNA from 1 species
AGUGAACGCUGGCGGUAGGCCUAACACAUGCAAGUCGAACGGCAGCACAGUAAGAGCUUGCUCUUACGGGUGGCGAGUGGCGGACGGGUGAGGAAUACAUCGGAAUCUACUUUUUCGUGGGGGAUAACGUAGGGAAACUUACGCUAAUACCGCAUACGACCUACGGGUGAAAGCAGGGGAUCUUCGGACCUUGCGCGAUUGAAUGAGCCGAUGCCGGAUUAGCUAGUUGGCGGGGUAAAGGCCCACCAAGGCGACGAUCCGUAGCUGGUCUGAGAGGAUGAUCAGCCACACUGGACUGAGACACGGUCCAGACUCCUACGGGAGGCAGCAGUGGGGAAUAUUGGACAAUGGGCGCAAGCCUGAUCCAGCCAUACCGCGUGGGUGAAGAAGGCCUUCGGGUUGUAAAGCCCUUUUGUUGGGAAAGAAAAGCAGCAGGUUAAUACCCCGCUGUUCUGACGGUACCCAAAGAAUAAGCACCGGCUAACUUCGUG